rnacentral:rRNA from 1 species
GACGAAAAGAGCGAACGUUGUUCGGAAUCACUGGGCUUAAAGGGCGCGUAGGCGGGCUAUCAAGUCUGGGGUGCAAUGCCACGGCUCAACCGUGGAACUGCCUCAGAUACUGACGGCCUCGAGGGAGGUAGGGGCAUGCGGAACUGUAGGUGGAGCGGUGAAAUGCGUUGAUAUCUACAGGAACUCCGGUGGCGAAAGCGGCGUGCUGGACCUCUUCUGACGCUCGGGCACGAAAGCGUGGGGAGCAAAAGGG